rnacentral:rRNA from 1 species
AUGGCGGCGUUGAAGGUGUGCAUGCUGCUGUUCGCGGCCUUAUUCUUCUCGGCGCACAUCCAGCAGCUGUGCGCGGCCUACAAGGUGCGCGGCAAUGGCGUGCGACGGGGAGGCUAUCGAUCGGGCGACCGCGUGCUUGCCCACGUCCGUGGCGCCGUUCGUCACCGGUUUCGGGCACUGGCGCCUUCGGUGGACUGCAUCGUCGAUGGUCUGAAGACGAACAAGCUUCUUCUUACUUAA